CCUACGGGAGGCAGCAGUGGGGAAUUUUGGACAAUGGGCGCAAGCCUGAUCCAGCCAUGCCGCGUGAGUGAAGAAGGCCUUCGGGUUGUAAAGCUCUUUCGGCCGGGAAGAAAUCGCAUUCUCUAAUAUAGGAUGUGGAUGACGGUACCGGACUAAGAAGCACCGGCUAACUACGUGCCAGCAGCCGCGGUAAUACGUAGGGUGCGAGCGUUAAUCGGAAUUACUGGGCGUAAAGCGUGCGCAGGCGGUUUUGUAAGACAGAUGUGAAAUCCCCGGGCUUAACCUGGGAACUGCGUUUGUGACUGCAAGGCUAGAGUACGGCAGAGGGGGGUGGAAUUCCUGGUGUAGCAGUGAAAUGCGUAGAUAUCAGGAGGAACACCGAUGGCGAAGGCAGCCCCCUGGGCCUGUACUGACGCUCAUGCACGAAAGCGUGGGGAGCAAACAGGAUUAGAUACCCUGGUAGUCCACGCCCUAAACGAUGUCGACUAGUCGUUCGGAGCAGCAAUGCACUGAGUGACGCAGCUAACGCGUGAAGUCGACCGCCUGGGGAGUACGGCCGCAAGGUUAAAACUCAAAUGAAUUGACGG
rnacentral:rRNA from 1 species